UAUCAGCAAGUAAUAAAGUCUUAUAAGCAAGAAAUAUAUCUAUGGCUUGCAACAAAGCUUUUAUCAUUAUAGCCUCCAUCCUGCUACUUCUCUUCACCAAUUCAUUCUUGUGCUCAGUCUCUGCUACUCCUCGCUUAAUUGGGACACCUGUGUAUCGAAUCCCAGGAAGAGGAAGAAUGCCUUUGUAUCCAAACCGAGGAAGGAGAGGGUGCCCAUAUGGCCAUGCAUGCAUACCAGAAUCUCCUCCUCGUAGUCCGUGCCGUGCGGGUGAAAAGUGUGUCCAUGUCUAACUAUGCUUGAUUUAUGCAUGCUCCGAAUUAUUAUAUGUGUUUAUAAUAAAAGGGUCCUUGUUGUAUUUGUCAGGGAUCAAUGAAUAAGAUCAUCAUGUCUUAUAUUUUUAGAGGAUAUUUAGGACUGAAUUAAUGAAGACAUGGUUUAAUGUUUUUUA